UGGGGAAUAUUGGACAAUGGGCGAAAGCCUGAUCCAGCCAUGCCGCGUGUGUGAAGAAGGUCUUCGGAUUGUAAAGCACUUUAAGUUGGGAGGAAGGGCAUUAACCUAAUACGUUAGUGUUUUGACGUUACCGACAGAAUAAGCACCGGCUAACUCUGUGCCAGCAGCCGCGGUAAUACAGAGGGUGCAAGCGUUAAUCGGAAUUACUGGGCGUAAAGCGCGCGUAGGUGGUUUGUUAAGUUGGAUGUGAAAUCCCCGGGCUCAACCUGGGAACUGCAUUCAAAACUGACUGACUAGAGUAUGGUAGAGGGUGGUGGAAUUUCCUGUGUAGCGGUGAAAUGCGUAGAUAUAGGAAGGAACACCAGUGGCGAAGGCGACCACCUGGACUAAUACUGACACUGAGAGACGAAAGCUAGGGUAGCGAAUG
rnacentral:rRNA from 1 species